rnacentral:lncRNA from 1 species
AUGCGUGGUCAGCGAGUUGUUCCGGAUGUGACGCGUUCAGAGACCCGUAUGAACGUGACGUGUCUCAAUCCCGGAAAUCAGCAGCUUCUCGAGCCGCGGCGGAUUCCUCACAAACUUCACAUAAACGACAAUAAACGUGAGUACUCCAACAAAUCAGACUGUUCGUAAAUCAGCUGUCAUGUCUCCGCAUCACUUUUAAACGCCUUUCAUAACCUUUAAAGCGUGAGUGUAAGUGAGCACGAGUAUUUGAACAUGUCACGUGGUCUGGUGUGACCGGUGUGAGCUGACCUGUGGUCGUUCUCAGCAGGGAGAUGGUGACUGAUGUGCAGCUGGCCAUCUUCGCCAACAUGCUGGGGGUCUCUCUCUUCCUGCUGGUGGUGCUCUAUCACUAUGUGUCCGUGAACAACCCCAAGAGACUGGAGUGAGAGGAGCGCGCGCACAGCUUCCCAUGAGCCUCUGCGCGGGAGUCACCGCGGAUCUGCUCUCUCUCUCUCAGACGCCGGACACCUGCUCCCUCCGGAGGAUCCGCCGCCUCCACGUGUGUGUGUUUGCAUUGAAAUGAUGAAUAAAACUGUCACGUGUGAGAGACUGUGUGUGCGUGUGUUCAUUAAUCACAGGCAGCGUUUCGUUCAGGAGUACACGUGCACAUUUAUUGCUAUUUAAAUGCACAGGGUUCACAGAGAGACCGGACUCGUGGUCACCGGGUCUGUAACAAGCACCACAAACCAGUUCAUGAUGAACUCUACAACAGCUUAACUCGAGCCACAGCUUUCUUUAAGAACACGGAGCUCGUCUGGAGGUGCUGUAGUGUGUGUUUAGUGUAGCUGGAAGUGUGAAGGGUCUGCUCUUGUGCUGACGGACACCGCAAUCCAGCGAGGAUUCACAUUACAGUCAGAGACCAGUUCAGACACACACGAACAUGAAUCUGCUCGCCCUCAGAUCAUCUGAGAUCAGGAUGAGUGUGUUUCUUCAUCAGGUUUGUAGAAAUGUAGCACUGCAUCAGUGUCUCAGCAAUAGAUGUGAAUGGGUGCCGUCAGAAUGAGAGUUCAAACAGCUGAUAAAAACAUCACAAUAAUCCACAAGUAAUCCACAGCACUCCAGUCCAUCAGUGAACAUCUGGAGAAGACAAAAGAUGAAACACAUCCAGCAUUAAGAUGCUUUUAACUCAAAUACAUAGAGUCUAUAAUCCAUAAUAACACUUCCUCCAGUGAAAAAGUGUUCUGGUGUGAAUCAGGAGAGAAAUCUGCACAGAUCAAGCAGUGUUUAAACAGCUCUAAACAAAUAUGUGUCUGGAUUUUGAUGUGAGAGACAACAGGAGAUGCACUUUUUCACUGGAGGAAGUGUUAUUAUGGAUUAUAGACUCUAUACCACACCGGCUCAAACACGGACAU